GACGAACGCUGGCGGCGUGCUUAACACAUGCAAGUCGAACGGAAAGGCCCUGCUUUUGUGGGGUGCUCGAGUGGCGAACGGGUGAGUAACACUUGAGUAACCUGCCCUUGCCUUUGGGAUAACUUCAGGAAACUGGGGCUAAUACCGGAUAGGAGCUCCUGCUGCAUGGUGGGGGUUGGAAAGUUUCGGCGGUUGGGGAUGGACUCGCGGCUUAUCAGCUUGUUGGUGGGGUAGUGGCUUACCAAGGCUUUGACGGGUAGCCGGCCUGAGAGGGUGACCGGCCAAAUUGGGACUGAGAUACGGCCCAGACUCCUACGGGAGGCAGCAGUGGGGAAUAUUGCACAAUGGGCGGAAGCCUGAUGCAGCAACGCCGCGUGCGGGAUGACGGCCUUCGGGUUGGAAACCGCUUUCGCCUGUGACGAAGCGUGAGUGAAGGUAAUGGGUAAAGAAGCACCGGCUAACUACGUG
rnacentral:rRNA from 1 species